GACGAACGCUGGCGGCCUGCCUAAUACAUGCAAGUAGAACGCUGAAGAGAGGAGCUUGCUCUUCUUGGAUGAGUUGCGAACGGGUGAGUAACGCGUAGGUAACCUGCCUUGUAGCGGGGGAUAACUAUUGGAAACGAUAGCUAAUACCGCAUAACAAUGGAUGACACAUGUCAUUUAUUUGAAAGGGGCAAUUGCUCCACUACAAGAUGGACCUGCGUUGUAUUAGCUAGUAGGUGAGGUAAUGGCUCACCUAGGCGACGAUACAUAGCCGACCUGAGAGGGUGAUCGGCCACACUGGGACUGAGACACGGCCCAGACUCCUACGGGAGGCAGCAGUAGGGAAUCUUCGGCAAUGGGGGCAACCCUGACCGAGCAACGCCGCGUGAGUGAAGAAGGUUUUCGGAUCGUAAAGCUCUGUUGUAAGUCAAGAACGGGUGUGAGAGUGGAAAGUUCACACUGUGACGGUAGCUUACCAGAAAGGGACGGCUAACUACGUGCCAGCAGCCGCGGUAAUACGUAGGUCCCGAGCGUUGUCCGGAUUUAUUGGGCGUAAAGCGAGCGCAGGCGGUUUGAUAAGUCUGAAGUUAAAGGCUGUGGCUCAACCAUAGUUCGCUUUGGAAACUGUCAAACUUGAGUGCAGAAGGGGAGAGUGGAAUUCCAUGUGUAGCGGUGAAAUGCGUAGAUAUAUGGAGGAACACCGGUGGCGAAAGCGGCUCUCUGGUCUGUAACUGACGCUGAGGCUCGAAAGCGUGGGGAGCGAACAGGAUUAGAUACCCUGGUAGUCCACGCCGUAAACGAUGAGUGCUAGGUGUUGGAUCCUUUCCGGGAUUCAGUGCCGCGGCUAACGCAUUAAGCACUCCGCCUGGGGAGUACGACCGCAAGGUUGAAACUCAAAGGAAUUGACGGGGGCCCGCACAAGCGGUGGAGCAUGUGGUUUAAUUCGAAGCAACGCGAAGAACCUUACCAGGUCUUGACAUCCCGAUGCUAUUUCUAGAGAUAGAAAGUUACUUCGGUACAUCGGUGACAGGUGGUGCAUGGUUGUCGUCAGCUCGUGUCGUGAGAUGUUGGGUUAAGUCCCGCAACGAGCGCAACCCCUAUUGUUAGUUGCCAUCAUUCAGUUGGGCACUCUAGCGAGACUGCCGGUAAUAAACCGGAGGAAGGUGGGGAUGACGUCAAAUCAUCAUGCCCCUUAUGACCUGGGCUACACACGUGCUACAAUGGUUGGUACAACGAGUUGCGAGUCGGUGACGGCGAGCUAAUCUCUUAAAGCCAAUCUCAGUUCGGAUUGUAGGCUGCAACUCGCCUACAUGAAGUCGGAAUCGCUAGUAAUCGCGGAUCAGCACGCCGCGGUGAGUACGUUCCCGGGCCU
rnacentral:rRNA from 1 species